UACGUAGGGGGCAAGCGUUGUCCGGAAUCAUUGGGCGUAAAGAGCGCGUAGGCGGCCCUGUAAGUCCGCUGUGAAAGUCAAGGGCUCAACCCUUGAAUGCCGGUGGAUACUGCAGGGCUAGAGUCCGGAAGAGGCGAGUGGAAUUCCUGGUGUAGCGGUGAAAUGCGCAGAUAUCAGGAGGAACACCGAUGGCGAAGGCAGGUCUCUGGGCCACUACUGACGCUGAGAAGCGAAAGCUUGGGGAGCGAACAGG
rnacentral:rRNA from 1 species